UACGUAGGGUGCAAGCGUUGUCCGGAAUUAUUGGGCGUAAAGAGCUCGUAGGCGGUCUGUUGCGUCGGCUGUGAAAACCCGAGGCUCAACCUCGGGCCUGCAGCCGAUAUGGGCAGACUAGAGUUCGGCAGGGGAGACUGGAAUUCCUGGUGUAGCGGUGAAAUGCGCAGAUAUCAGGAGGAACACCGGUGGCGAAGGCGGGUCUCUGGGCCGAUACUGACGCUGAGGAGCGAAAGCGUGGGGAGCGAACAGG
rnacentral:rRNA from 1 species